rnacentral:rRNA from 1 species
GAUGAACGCUGGCGGCGUGCCUAAUACAUGCAAGUCGAGCGCUGACGGAUGGUGCUUGUACCAACUGGGUUAGCAGCGAACGGGUGAGUAACGCGUGGGGAAUCUGCCUUUGAGCGGGGGACAACAUCUGGAAACGAAUGCUAAUACCGCAUAAUACCUUUAACCACAAGUUUCAAGUUUGAAAGAUGCAUUUGCAUCCCUCAAAGAUGGUCCCGCGUUGGAUUAGUUAGGUGGUGAGGGAAAGGCCCACCAAGGGGAACAUACGUAGCCGACCUGGGAGGGUGAUCGGCCACAUCUGGACUGGGACACGGGCCAAGCUCCCUCGGGAAGGAGCAGGAGGGGAUCUUCGGCCAUGGAGGGAAGUCUUACCGAACAACGCCGCGGGAGUGGAGGAGGGUUUCGGGUUGUAAAACCCUGUUUGUAGGGGAGAAAGUGGGGGAGAGUGAAAAGCUCAUCAAGUGACGGUAACUAACCAGAAAGGGACGGCUAACUACGUG